rnacentral:rRNA from 1 species
UACGUAGGUGGCAAGCGUUGUCCGGAAUUAUUGGGCGUAAAGCGCGCGCAGGCGGUCCUUUAAGUCUGAUGUGAAAGCCCACGGCUCAACCGUGGAGGGUCAUUGGAAACUGGGGGACUUGAGUGCAGGAGAGAAGAGUGGAAUUCCACGUGUAGCGGUGAAAUGCGUAGAGAUGUGGAGGAACACCGGUGGCGAAGGCGGCAUCCUGGACCGACACUGACGCUGAGGAGCGAAAGCCAGGGGAGCAAACGGG